rnacentral:antisense_RNA from 1 species
GCCACCUCAGGGGAAGCAACAGAUCGUCACUCGGUGUUCUCACCGAAAGCACGUAAUCGCCGGUGUAACUCAUGUUGGCUGGGGGGCCUCCCGGCGCGCGCGGAGAGGCUGGGGUGCGCCCCCAUGCAGCAUGCUUGUGCUCAAUUGCAGGGUCCUCGUUCUCGAGUGUGCAGAGGGCGGUGAGAGCUCAACUCUCGUCCCCACCUCCCACCCGCAGCUCCCCGGGUGGGUGAGGGAUGCCCUGGACUGGGGAUAGCCAGGUGGGAGUCCGUCGCUGUGUGGCCUGUGGUCUCGGAGUCUGUUCUCCUGGAGUCUCGCAUUUGCACCCCCUUCUUCGCAGUCCCCCUCCCAUAGACUUGCUCUGGGAAGCGCCUCUGCCUCCGACCCUAGCCGGAACCCCUUCGGGGCCAGAGUUUGAAGCCGUGGAUGUGCCUGCCUGGUGGCUUGUCCGAUUUGCACGGUGACUUGAUUACACUCUCUCAUUCAUGGUCACUUCCGAAGCGCUUUAGUGCCUUCCGUCCCUAAACCGCCAACAGCCAGAACGGCUUCUCCCCGCGGUUUGUCACUGAUCCGCAGGGCCCGGAAGGGCCUUCGUCUUACCCGGGAUCCACCUCUCCCCUCAUCUUCCCUGCCUGCCUCUUCAUCCCACCUUCUGUCCUUGGAGAAACCCCCUCCUCCUCGCUGCCUGCCGGGCUUCGGAGUGACUCGGCAGAGACAGAGGCACAGGGGCUGCCCUGCUGCUCACCGGUCCACCCAUCUGCCUGGUCUUCUGGAGCUGAGGACUCGGGAAACCAUGCAAUUGAGGCAAGCCUUGGGCUGCUUUAGAGGCGCUGACAUCCGAGGAGACUUCUCCUGGGAGGUCCAACAGCCGAGCUUAGCCCACCGGGCUCUGGGAAAGACCCGACUGAGGCUAAAGCCGCCCCGGAAGGCCAAGUCCGAGUUCCAUUUCUUGAAGAGGCCGGCGCGCGUAAGGCUGUGACAUUGGCCCUGGCGACUGGCUUCCCAGGAGCUGUUCUUUCUCAGGAGCUCCACAGCGCGGGCCAUCUCCAGAAAACUGUCUUCAGAGUGUAUUUCCUUUUAUCGUCAACCCAGAGCCCCACCGCGGCUAAUGCAAGAGGCCAAAAAAUGUUUGGAGGAAGAAAAACAAAGGCAGGAAGUGGCGGCCGCCUGACGGUGCGUGUGUGUCUGCAGAGAAGGGAGGGAGCCGGCUCAGUCUCUUCUUGUUUUUCCAAACUUCAAGGUCCAGGCAGCCCUCUGCAGGGCCGGGCCCCAUUGCUCCCCGCGCGGCAUUGGAGGUGGCCACCCGGAGAGGAGAAGGCCAACGCCUGCGCCAGGCUUGUCAGGCGGAAACGGCUAACAAGGAGAUUUGGUCAGCAAAACAGACCGAGCCUUUCCGAGGCUUCGUCUGACUUGGCCCGAAAGGUUGGGGAGGGGGGGCUUGCUCAGAGCCUCAGGGACCCUCCUCUCUGGGGACUACCAUCCCUGAGCCUUACGCUUCUUUCCACAGCCUUUGCAGGCGGAAUAUCGGAAUAAAGUGGGUCCAGGCGCC